UACGUAGGGUGCGAGCGUUAAUCGGAAUUACUGGGCGUAAAGCGUGCGCAGGCGGUGGCUCAAGCCAGGCGUGAAAUCCCCGGGCUUAACCUGGGAAUGGCGUUUGGGACUGGGUCGCUAGAGUGUGGCAGAGGGAGGUGGAAUUCCACGUGUAGCAGUGAAAUGCGUAGAGAUGUGGAGGAACACCGAUGGCGAAGGCAGCC
rnacentral:rRNA from 1 species